GAUGAACGCUGGCGGCGCGCCCAACACAUGCAAGUCGAACGGUUAAAGCAUCUUCGGAUGUGUAUAAAGUGGCGAACGGCUGAGUAACACGUGGGCAACCUGCCCUUUGCACUGGGAUAGCCUCGGGAAACCGAGGUUAAUACCGGAUACUCCAUAUUUGUCGCAUGGCGAAUAUGAGAAAGCUCCGGCGGCAAAGGAUGGGCCCGCGGCCUGUUAGCUAGUUGGUGGGGUAGUGGCCUACCAAGGCAAUGAUGGGUAGCCGGGUUGAGAGACCGACCGGCCAGAUUGGGACUGAGACACGGCCCAGACUCCUACGGGAGGCAGCAGUGGGGAAUCUUGCACAAUGGGCGAAAGCCUGAUGCAGCGACGCCGCGUGCGGGAUGAAGGCCUUCGGGUUGUAAACCGCUUUCAGCAGGGACGAGGCCGCAAGGUGACGGUACCUGCAGAAGAAGCCCCGGCUAACUACGUGCCAGCAGCCGCGGUAAUACGUAGGGGGCAAGCGUUAUCCGGAUUCAUUGGGCGUAAAGCGCGCGUAGGCGGUCUGUUAGGUCAGGAGUUAAAUCUGGGGGCUCAACCCCUAUCCGCUCCUGAUACCGGCAGGCUUGAGUCUGGUAGGGGAAGAUGGAAUUCCAAGUGUAGCGGUGAAAUGCGCAGAUAUUUGGAAGAACACCGGUGGCGAAGGCGGUCUUCUGGGCCAUGACUGACGCUGAGGCGCGAAAGCUAGGGGAGCGAACAGG
rnacentral:rRNA from 1 species